UACAGAGGGGCAAGCGUUAUUCGGAAUUAUUGGGCGUAAAGGGCGCGUAGGCGGCUUGGCAAGUGGAAGGUGAAAUCCCUCGGCUUAACCGAGGAACUGCCCUCCAAACUGCUUGGCUUGAGACCGGGAGAGGUGAGUGGAAUUCCCAGUGUAGCGGUGAAAUGCGUAGAUAUUGGGAGGAACACCAGUGGCGAAGGCGGCUCACUGGACCGGUACUGACGCUGAUGCGCGAAAGCGUGGGAGCAACGGG
rnacentral:rRNA from 1 species